rnacentral:rRNA from 1 species
UACGUAGGUGGCGAGCGUUGUCCGGAUUUAUUGGGUUUAAAGGGUGCGUAGGUGGUCCCAUAAGUCAGUGCUGAAAUAUCCCGGCUUAACCGGGAGGGUGGCAUUGAUACUGCGGGACUUGAGUAAAGUUGAGGUAGGCGGAAUUGACGGUGUAGCGGUGAAAUGCUUAGAUAUCGUCAAGAACACCUAUUGCGAAGGCAGCUUACUAAGCUUUAACUGACACUGAGGCACGAAAGUGUGGGGAUCAAACAGG